AUGCACUUUUGUUUUUAUUUUUUUUUUUGGCUAUAGGAACCUUAUCGAUUGGUCCCCUAAAUGGCAAGGUGUAUAACCUCAAGUGCCAGGUUUGUAAAACGUGGUGUUUAUCCUUCAGUCAAAGUUUUUCCUUUAUUUGUUGGUGUAGUUGUCCUCAUCGGUCUUUCGCUUGUAGAAAUA